UGAAAUUGAGCAUACAAAGGUAGGAAGUUUAAUCAACAAAGUUUCAGUUGGCUGAGUUGUUUGUGAGUAUAUACGCCCAGCAAACUAAAAACUUGCUCAAAUUUUCUUUCUAGUUAGCAGCAGACAAAUACUGGACUGGAGAUGGUAGAUCCUGGUGAUAUCACAAAAUCGCAGUAUAAUUGUGAUGGUAUGAAAAUAUUUCCAAAGAAUACCUUGGCUUGUGCUUUAAGCAGGUCCCUUUUGUAAUCUUACUGAUAGGGCAGCUAACAUCUCAAUAUUGAGGAAAUGUUAACUUCUGAUUUUCUUUCUAACUCUAAUUACUCCACAAAAACACAUGCAAAAUAUUGCUACAUCAUUCAAUUGAUAACAAACGAAUCAUUGUGAGGAAGAGAGAGAGAGAGAGAGGCUGCUAAGGCUUACGUAAUCAUGAGAAUUAUCCUGAUGUUCAUCAUGAUGUGUACCCCUAGCAUCUUUACCAAAUGAUAUUUCUGGGGAUUCCUCAAGGGCAUUUCCAGAUGCAGACAACAAAUCACCACUCUCCGUUGGUCUGGGGGUAACCUUAUUGUACGAAAUUUCUGUUUUCUUUUCUCUAACCUGAGGAGAUCGAACAGCACUUCUUAUGGUUCCAGUACUCUGUGAUCCACCAAUACUGAAGUCCCACCCAGCAUUUUUUAAUGGCUUUCCCUGACCACUGCAAAUUAAACCACACUACCAAACUAUAACACCUCCUUUUAGAUCAGAGUAAGAAUAGAUACUACACAAGCAAUUGUAAUAAACAAAUUCUAUCCACCUGGCUCGAACAGUUCCCUCAUCUCCCACAUCUCUGGUCACUUUCACAGUGCCGGAUGACUGUGCCACUGCUCUUGGACCAUUCCUGGGGGUUUCUGCAUCCUUUAUUUGGUACUUUGGACGCUCUCUGUCAAGAUAACCAGACUGUAAAUACUGUGAUUUCAGCACCAAAAAAGAAGCUCCAACUAAACACUUUCAGUCAUGGACAACAGAAAUUUCAGGUUUUCCAUGCGCAAGCAAAUCAAUCACAUAAUGAGUUCUCUCAAAGCACCUUGUGUGCAUUGGCAUGGCAUUGUCGUUUAUUGGGGGAAUCAAGGAUUAGCGAAACAUUAAAAAUAUUGGUACGCAAUUCUUUUGGGCCUUUAUUAACCCCACUUAACUUAUUAAAAAAAAAAAACAUUACAGUGUGCAUUUUGAUUUAAAUAGGUGAAAGGGCUCAAAUUUGGAUGUUUUGAUUUUGCAAUCUCAUUUACCAAAUAUACACAGGGGUUUCCAUUCUUACUUCAUUUAAAAUAAACUUACUUUAUUACAAAAACAAAUUAAACUUCAUAGAAAUUAUAUAUUGUUUAUCAUAACAUAUCUAUUUUUUAAAAUAAUCAUUUUACAGAUAAUAUGUGAAAUUAUAUUAAUAACAUUAUUAUUUUUUAUUACAUUAUUUAUAAAAAAAUAUGUUAUUAUCUUUAUGUAAGAGUAAAUGUUUUUUAACAUUUCUUAAAACAUCACUAAUUGUUAUUGUUUUAAUUCUCAAAACAUCACUAAUUGUUAUUGUUUUAAUAAUUUUUCAUAAAACAGUUACUUCUCGAAAUAUAUAUCAUUCUUUUAUAAAUCUAUGAAAUAUGCAUACAAAUAUCAAAGAUUUUAAUUUUAAAAAAUUUGACAAAAAUUUAUAUUUAUAUGUUCUUUUGAAUUAUUAUCAUUUUUCCAUUAAAUUUUAUAUUUUCCAUAAUAUGAUUUAUUGCGAAAAAUAGAUUCAUUUUAUAAAAAUUAAGUAAAAUAUAAAAUUUUCUCGUAACAAACUAAUUAUUACUUUGUUUUAAAUAAAGUGACCAUAACAGUCACCUAUAUAUAUAUAUAUAUACAUAUAAUAUUGAUUGUUGUUAUACUUGAAGUUCAUUUUAUUUGUUAAUACUUUCUUUUCCAACCCCAGAAAUUGCAAAGUGAGAUUAGGAAUCAAAUUUGUGGGUUAUAAUUAUGCUUUAGGAAUCCUUGUACCUAAUUUCAUAUAGUAUACACUUGGCUUGUCACAUGAAACUAAUUUCAUAUUUCCAUAUGUGAAAAUAAUUAUGAAGUCAAAUUUUCACAUCAAGAAUUAUUUAUAGAUGAAGAGAUGUCAUUGGGCUUUUUAUUUGCCAAACAGAACAUAUAACAAGUAAGCCUUAAUCUCUGCAGUACACAGACAUGCAUACACACACACAGAUAUACAUAUAUAUAUCCCAACUGAAAAAUUAUAUGGCUCCAUCCCUGCUCAAAUGCAUCGUUGUCAAAGGUAUGCCUGAACUACAGUGCACUAAGGCCCUACGUCUUCUGCCUCAAGUUGACACAGGUGACACACUAUGACAAGGAGUCGAGAAUUUUAACUAGUACCAUCAUUUUAAACUUAUAAAAGUGGAGUGUGGAUUUGGCUUUAACAAUGGAUGUUACUAAAAAUGCCAAUAAAAGAAACACUUAAAUCGAAUAAACUCUCAGCAAGUAAAUAUCCAAUAACCUAAACGCCCUUUCUCCCUUCCAAUCCACCUGAUCUCUUUUUUCCAAUAGGAGCUUGAAGAAUAGAAUUUGCAGAAUGUUACUAUGCUGAUUUAGUUAAUACUAGUCAAGAUUCUAAUUAGUUUUUCUAGAAGUAGCUAGAAUAGCAGAAUAUUGGGAUCCACUAUUUUGAUUGUAGUGUCUGUUGAAAUAUGCUCACUUUUGAAAAGACUUUUUCCCUUUUUUUUACAUUCAUGUGUACAUGACUCUUGUUGAACUAGUCUUAGUAGUCAUCUUCUUUGCACCAAAAUAGCAUGAGAAAAAUUUGAAACAUGCAAUUAUGAUCUUGUGUUGAUGUGUUUUGCAUUUUUACAACCAGUUUGUACUUUGACUUCAGUCGAAUUAAUCUUAGUAAUUCAUGGUGUCUCAUAAUAGAUUUUAGCACGCUUCGCAUUCAGUCAUUUCAACUUAAUAAACUGAAAAGUAUUAUAUACAUAUUUUAGGCACAUGCACCUUUCACCUAUGCCCUGUGUAGUGUGUAUACAGCUUAUGUCUUUGACAACUAGCUUAUGUUAGACAGGCUGGUGCAGUGCCCAAAUUCCAAAGGCUCACUAGAAAAUAAAAAAAAUUGAAAUCAUAUUUCCAGAUUAAGAAUGAAUAACGGGUUACAGCAUGCACCUUAUUCUUUCUAGAAGUCUUGGGCUCUUCCUAGCAUUUUUAAUAAAACGGUGCUUCAAAAGCUCCUUAGCACUUGGCCUCUGAAAUUAAAUUGAUAAGACUAAAUUACAAGAAAGUAUGAAGUAUGCAUAAGAUAAUCAUGAAACAAAACAAGGAUAAAUGUUUAAAAAACUAAAAGAAUCAAAGAGGUAAGAAGCAAAAAGUGCCAUACAAUCAAUAAAUGUUAAUUAACAUGAGUACUACUUGCAUAAAAGUUGAGAAAAAACCACAGAUCACCUUCAAAUCUCAACUAUAAUAUUAUUUUCAACCAUUAGUAGAGGGGUUUUCAUCAGUGCAGGUUGCCUAAGCAAUAUGCAAUUAUUUUAUCAAAUGAAUUUUGAACACUUCAGUCACUUCAGCCUAAGGUUCUCAAAUGACUAGGCAUAUGUACUGUAUAGUAACUCCAAUAGAACACAAAAUUUUGCAAUAUAAAAUGAUUCAAAAGCUAAAGACUGGACAUAGUCACUUCUGGUCUUUUAGGGAUAGGUGCCCACAGCACACUUUUGGACUAAUCAUUUGUGUAACCUACUGUAGUCACUUCUAUACCAAGGUUCUAUAAGAAUCAUUGCACCCGGAAUUCUUGAAUAAAAACUAGAGAAAUUUCUGUCCAAUUUUACUUUAAAACAUCCAUGUUUAACUUAUGACUCAACCAUCUGAGAAAUGAAUGAUUCUAUCUCUAUAAGGAUUUCAUUGCUCAGGGAAACUGUUAAACAGGUAAUAUUGGGUUCCUUUUCAAUCACUUCUUCCAUGUCAAAUUAUUCAUUUCCAGUUACCGAGCACAAAAAGAUGGAGGAGAAUUGUUGAACUAGUACAAUAAAGACAAAAUGCCACGAGAGUGGUCACAAAAAGAACAAACAGCCAUAUGCAAUUUAUUGGAUACGCAACUCUUUUAGGCUUGUAGGUAAAUGUAACUUUUAAGUGAGUUACCAUAUAAAAAUCUACGAGGACAAAGUCAAUUUGGUCGUGUUGCUCACAACUCAAGUAUUUCUCCUCAAAUACCUAUCAAUGUUAUUGGAAGCUUUUAAGCUUGCGCUAGAACCAACUAUUGAGUAGAAUGGUUAAAAAAAAAAACAACUGACUUUUUGACUGAUACAUGUGAAUCCAAUCCAACAAUCUAAUUCAAUUUUGAAAAAUAAUUGGUCUGACAUGUGAAUCCAACCCAGCAAUCUACAGGUCCCAGGAUCAAAUUCAGUUUUUAAUAAAUAACUGGAUGGCAACUCUCGAGAAUUAAGAUACAUUAAAAGGAAGAGCCUUCUUUUGUUUUCUUUCCAUUUUAAAAAUCUACCUUUCUUCAGGUCCAAUACAUCAGCUUGAACACAAGUAUGGCUUCUCAUUCGACAUCCAAAUACAAAUAAACAAAGAAUCCAAUCCCAGGAACCAUAUGCAUGGAGUUGACACACGGGUAUGGAUCCAAAGAUCGUACUCUUCAUGAUCCCACUGUUUUAUGAGUAAAUAUUUUAGGAUUCUUCUUGGAUUCAUUAUAUUACUGGUGUGUGGCUCUCCGUCAAUGUGUAGGGUCAAAAAUUUGAAGUUGUUCAUCUAAUUUAUCAUUGCUGAAUUACAACCUUAAUCUGAAAUAUGCCGGUUGAAGGAAUAUCAACCUUAAUCUGAAAUAUAUCCAACCCAAUCAUUGUGUCCUGAUGAGUGGGAAUAUAGCAGGGCUAUGUCAUAAAAUUUGGGCAAUGUCAUCUGAAGUGGAUAGCCUAGGCUAAAAUGCAAAGGCUAUGUAACUUUAGCUCAAGAAUGCAAUUCCAAAAUCCAAAUGCAAACCGUCUUGUCUCCAUUAUCCACAGAAUGAUAUCCAAAAGAAGCAGAAACUAGAACACUUAUACAGGAGGAAUAAGUACUUGCCUCAGCAGGAGCUUUCUUUAAACACAAUGAAACAAAUUCUUUGAUUGGACGAGAAAAAUGCUCAUCGAGCUGCACAAGAAACACAGAAUGUUGAUUCUCUUAAACUGUGAAGAAUGAUACUUCCAUCUGACAAAAGAUAUCAAUAUUCUAAAUGAAGUAAUAAGUAAUUAACCAGUUUGAUAUCAAAGAACUUCUAGAAAACCUGUGGGGGAUUUUCUCGAGGUAUGAUAAAAAGGACCUUCAUAGGAUAAAGAUCUGCAAGGGGGGGUUCCCCCUUUGCCAUCUCGAUGGCAGUUAUACCCAGUGACCAAAUAUCUGCCUGCAUGAUGCAAAAGGUCAAUAUGCAAUAGACAUUUAUUGGGCUAGACAGGUUUCUAAAUAGAAAUUCUCAGUAAUAAUUUAGAAGAAUUACCUUCUCAUUGUAUCCCUCUGAAUUUUGAAUUACCUCUGGCGCCAUCCAGAAUGGAGUUCCUACAAAAGUCUGUAAUUACAAACCAAAUUAGCAAUUUUCCAUUAAAUUCCAUUAUCAAAUUAGAAAAGUUAAAAGCAUUUCAAACAUUAAGAACUACUGACUUCAAUUUCUAAAAAAAAAAUAAAAAAUCCCUAUGAAACAUCUCUGCUCUAAAAUGGUCAUAUCAUAUAAGGAAUGCAUGAUCAGAUGGGCAAGCCAAGACCUGUAAAAUUCCAUCUUCUAAAUCAUUAUUUCACAAUAUUCGAUACUCAGUACUUAAAACAGUUUAUGAAGCUUAACUUCACAAAAACAUAAGAACAUAGCUUUCAGCUUUGUGCUAAACUACUAUUUUGUAGUAACCAUUAUUUGACUAACCUUUUAAGAGAAUUUAACUGAUAAGCAACACACAUUCACAGACACACAAUUGGAAGCAUGUGCACAAGAAAAAAAAAAUGAUUUAGACAAGGGGGAAAAACUGUCAUAUCAAAAAGGGAAAGAAAUAGUUAACCACUCCAGUCAAUUCAGUUUUUAUUCAUACUUCAUGCACCUAACAGUUAAUCCAACCAACUAAGGUUUCAACUUCACUAUUAUAAUAUUAUAUAUUCUGCAUUAAUAAUAGUAUAAUAUUUAUGAAUAUCACAAAAAUAUUUUAAUUCACAUAUUUGAACUUCAAAUUUUUCUGUCCACUCAUUUGUACAGAUGAAGGAUCUAUCUCUUGUUGGCUUCAAAAUCUAAUAUCACCUCCUGUGGUUAAAUAAGGAAGGAGGCACAGCAUCCAUUGUUAUCUGUGUGGAAAAACAAAAAGGAGGCAGGUAACUCCUUUGAGAUGUAACCAAUAUGGGACAAAUUAUCCGACAUUAAAACAUGUAAAGGAAGCAGAGACUCCUCUUCAUAUAAACAUAUAAGCCCCCAUCUCCCUUCAUACUUCUGCACAAGCCCUGGUUCAAGGCUUCUGCUCCUUAGGAGAAGCCUCAAUGAAGUGGCACUAUUAUUUAAUUAGUUUAAAUUUUUCAAGGUUUUGGUGAACCAGCCAAUAAAAAAGUUGUUCGGUUUUGCUGUAUAUGAAUGAACCAAGAUUAUUGUUUUAGUUUGCAGAAGAGGUAUACAAUUUGAAAUAGACACACCUAAUCCUUAUUAAAAGCUAGCUAGAGACAAUGAGAAACAGGUCGUCAAAUGAGAGGCCUAACUAUAAUGCUAUAAAUUAAACAUAAAAGUUAUACCAUGUCACAUCAAGAUGUCCACUUUUUAUCACAUCAAGAAUGAAGCUUAGAGGAAAAGAUGUAGUACCUUUCUCCUAGAUAUUGUUCUUGUUAAUUGGGCAGAAACACCAAAAUCUGCAACCUGUCACAAGGACAUAAUUAUAACUUGGAAUACUAAAAGUGCAAGCUCGUAAAACCUGUUGCAUUACUGCAUAUCCUUCUACAUUACUCUUAUAAAUAAUUCAGGAGAUUUUUACAUGCAAUUGAGAAAAAGGAUAUACCUUAACAUCGCCAUUCUCACCCAACAAAAUGUUUGCGGCUGCAAAAAUUAUAAUAUUAAUGUUACCACUUGAACAAUAAAUUUAAAGCAAGGCAGGCAAACUAGAGCAAAUAACACACGGGUGAAGCCCCUAAAGUAAGCAAACAUAUGAUUUACACAAGUCCAAUUUAACCAAAUGUUCAAAGUAAUUUCAACAAUAUCUAAAUGAUAAUGAGAUUCAAUUAUGAUGGGAGAGGGAAAAAAAACCUUUAAUAUCUCUGUGAAUUUUCCCUUCAUUGUGUAAAUACUCAACUGCAUGCAGCAAGUCACGCAAAAUACAAGCAAUUGACAUUUCAUCUAGGGGAGGACCUGACUGGAUCUGCAAAAAAAAUAAAUAAAUAAAUACUAGAUCAAUGAAGUAACCUACUAGAUCAGCAACUGAAGUAACCUACGAGAUCAGCAACUGAGCCGCCAGCCAUGUAUUCCAUUAUUAUCCAUAAUUUAGUUUGGUUAAGAUAAGAACCAUAGUACUCUGUAAUAUAUGGACAACGGCAUUGUGACAGAACUGAAAUUUCCUGACAUGAAAAUCAGAUACAUGAGUAAUGUAGUCAUUUGGCAAUUUCACACAUAAUAAAUUAGACAGGCAAGAAUAUAAAGUAAUACCUUCUGAAUGUCCUCAAUUUCAUCCUCACUACAGAAGCCAAAAUCAAAAGCCUAUUAGGAAUAUCAAAUAACAAUAUCCAAAUAAAGACUAACAAGUGAUGAAUGUGUCAUGUACUAUAAGAAUCUUGCACUGCUUAGUCAAAUCAGCAUGUGACUAAGAGUGGCUUCAUUGAAAUCAUAUCGCCAAAUUUUUGUUUUUAUGAUUUUAUAUAAUUUUAAUAUAGUAAUAUUUAUUUUUCAUUUAUUAUUGUAAAAUUUUAAUUUUAAGCUUUUGUUUAUUACAUACAAUUGAAAAUUAUUAUUUAAAUUUUAAAUUAUUUAAAAUAUUUAAAAUUUCAGAAACUUAUUUUAAUAAUUUUUUAUGUUUCUUAUUAAUUAUAAUAAGAAGCAUUAUUAUUAAUUUUAUAAUAUUUAUUUAAUAAUAUUACCAGUUCAACUGUAGUUCGACCAUGAUUGAACCUUGAACCCUUAAUCAUUGGCCCUCACUGGUUCUUUGACCAGGCCGAGUUUAAAUGAAGUGGUAAAUAUUGAAUAACAUGCGUCUAGAAUACAAACAUCAAAAAUAAGCAAGGGUAUAUACUUACGAUUCUUCCAAAUCAAUGACUUUGAUAGCAACUUCUUUGUUAAGCUCCUUAUCAAACCUAAAUAUCAAAGAAUGCAUCAGGAACGCCAGGUUAGAAGGCAACCAAUCCUCAGAUUGUAACGACAACACACAGUAUUUUGGGAAUAAGAACAGCUUGAAAGAUGGACAGUAAUGAAUCAAGAGUUAUAAAGCCCUGUAAUGUUCAACAUAAUUAUGGAUACAUAGUAUCACAGCAACAUUUUUAGAUUCUGAUAAUGUAAUUGGUUUCUGUUAAAAAAUCUUCAUUGUGCAGUUUAAUCAUCUUAAACAAUCAUAUAACAUAACCCACAUUUAAGGAGCCUGCCAAUGGAAACACAAUUCUUGAAAUAAAACAUUCUUUUGACUAAUUUGUGCUUUUCCUUCUUUCAAUACCACUGCAGAAUUUCAAAUGCAAAAAUCACUAUCGACAUUGCAAGUGCAUUACAAUUUACAACAGAAGUACUCAUUACUUAUAUUACUAAGGAAUAUAUAUGGCAAAAGAAACAUGUGUUUAUAAAUUUUACAGUAAUCUUGCAUAUGAUUAUCAGCACGAGAAUGCAAAUUCAAAUGAUGCGCUUUAAACAAUUAAGAGCAGACUACAAUAGUUACUAGCUCCCGUAACAAACAAAUAUGAGCACUGAAAAUGAUUUAAUCAAUAAAUGGCCUUGAUCAAGGAAUACUUACGCUUUGUAGACAUCACCGAAUGAUCCUCUCCCAAUCAACUCCAAGGAGCUAAAUCUAGUACCAGCUGCCUCCAUUAACCCUGCUGCAUCAGCCAUUUCUACACCAAGCAAACACCUUUCCCUACACCCACUUUACCCACCAAUAUAAUCAGCUACACCCACUUUACACACCAAUCCAACCCAAAUAAUCUCCACAUUACCCGCAUUCUCCAAAAACACAAUUCCAAUUUACAGCACCAAAUCCAAAUAAGUCAAGAAGGGCCUUUACCAAUCCAUACUUUGUCCUCAAAAACCAACUCUGCGUCAUGAUUUGCGGCAACCCAUUAAAAAAAUACAACAUAAACGCAAAUCUACCACAACUGAGAUCUAUAAAACGGGAAAAUUAUAUAUACAAAAAUGCGUUUGAGCAAUGCAACAGAGAUAUUUUACACUCAAAGCAAAAGCAAAUGGAAGAUGGUGAUAAAGCAAUUUCCAAGUUGUAAACAAUUGGGUUCUGUUAGGUGAAGGAGAGUGAGAUAUGCUACAGUGACAGACCAACAGAAUCCCAAUGCAACAAAAGACUUGUAGCAAUGAUAGCUAAACAACAACACACACGUGGCUUCAAAAUUGGGUUUCAUUUUAGCGCUUCGCUUCUGUUCGAUGGAUAAAUAGAGAUUAAGAGAUUUGGGAAUCUGUUUACCUGUUAAUAUCGAGAAGAGAGGUCUACAGAGACCUCCAUAGAUCCUUCUCUUAGGAUUUUUCUCUCCCCAAAAGAAGAAGAGAGCAAGUUUUCUCUAUCUGUCUUUGUCUUUAUGUCUAUAUCUGGCCCUCGUUGCAGAGAGGUCGUGAGAGCUACAAGGGAUCGAGAUAGAGAGAGAGAGAGACUCUUGUGCUGUGUGAUGUUUAAUGGAAGUUUUAUUGGCUGUUUAUUAUUUCAUAAAUAACUCCUAAUUCUUAUUAAUUACACUUCUAGACAGUAAUUUAAGGAUAAAUUGUAUUUUGAUCCUCUAAUAAAAUUACUCAAUUUUAAUUUAAAUAAAAUAAAAAAAUGGAAAUGCACAUUGCUAACUAUGUAAUUUUAUAAAUAAUGUUAGAUUUUUUAGAAAUUAUUAUUUAAUUAUUUAAUAAUUUAAAGUAAUAAACAUUAUUUAUUGAAAUAUUAAUUAAAAAAUAUUUUUUAAAAUAAAAUUUUAUCGCUAAUUUUAAAGAAUAAGAAUUACAUUUUAAUAUUAAUUAUAAAGUAUUUUAAAUAUAAGUAUCACUAGAUUUCUUCUAUCACACUUUAUGAAGAAUAUUUAAUAUUUUUUAAAACAUUAUUUAAAAUUUUUAUUGAUAGUUUUAUUAGUUAAGAAAAAUAAAUUAAAACCUUAAAAUUAAGUUUAUUUAAGUUGAAUUUGCAUUAAUUAGUUAAAUAUAAUUUAAAGUAAUAAAAUAAUAUAAAAUAGUAAUAAUUAAAUUAUUAAAUUAAAACUUUAUUUAGAUACAUAAAAGUGAUAAAAACAAAAUUGGAGAAAAAUAUCUAAAAUUAUUACUAAAUUAGUGUAGUUUAUUUUGAAAUAAAAUUAAAAUUAUAUGAGUUUGUUAAAAUAAAUUAAAAUUAACCUGUAUAAAUAAAAUAAAUUUUUAAUAUAUUUAUUUAUGAAAAAUAAAUUAUAUUUAAAAAAUAUUUUCUGUUGAAAAAUAUUUUUCAUGUAAAUAUCUUUUAAUAUCUUAAGUGAAAAUUUUUCCCCUUUCAAUGACCAAAAGGGAAAAUGUUCUCCCUCGGUUUUAAUUAGUUCCCUUUUAGACAUUUGGUCUCUUAAUAAUGUUGGCUUGGUUGUCAAACUUUACUUCUACGCAAAUCUUCUUUGUCAUCUUAUCAUCUGCAAAAUUACCAUUUGGUCAUUCAACCUUUAAAAUAUAUGAGUUUUCACCCCAAAACUUCUUAAAUGUUACUUUUUAAGUCCAAAAUAAUUGAUAAUCCGAUAGAUUGAUAAUUCCGCAAUUACAAACUAAUAGAAAUAUACUAAACUCAUAUCGAGAUUCGCUCUGCUAGGAAAAAGGCAAAUUUUCUCGGAAUGGAAUGUAUUUCCUACUUAUCAUUCUCUUGCACUAGAACUGGUGAUUGAUUAUUAUUGUAACAUCAAAACAUAUAACAAGCUAAUUAUUCAUUAUGGCGUUCCAGAAUAUAUGAUUUUUUUAAUAAAAUAAUUAUUUACUUUUAUUAUUUUCAUUUAAUACUAUUAUUCAAUAUAUGAUUUUUUUAAUAAAAUAAUUAUUUACUUUUAUUAUUUUCAUUUAAUACUAUUAUUCAAUAUUUUAAUUUUCUAAAUUAUAUUUAAAAUUAUUAUUUAUUAAAUUAUAAUUAAUUAAUAAAAACUAACUAUAUAUUAUUUUUUAUGGAUGAAAAUGUAUAUAAAAUUUACUACAAUUAAUUUGAAUUGAGUUGAAAUUAUUAUAACUAAUUUUUAUAAUUAUAUAAAAUUUUACUAAAGUUAUAUGAUACUGCUAUGACUAUUUAAUUAAUAUAUUACUAUUUUAUCAAAUAUAUAUAUAUAUAUAUGUAUAUAUUAAAACAUAUAAUUAUUAGAUUUUCAUUAAUAUAAGAUUUUUCAGUGGCUAUUUCUUUAUAAAAUAUAGUUUUUUAUUAACUUUAUACAUUUUAAAUUAUUAAUUUUAUUUUCCAUCUAUUUUAUAAUUUUUAUUCACUUUGCUUUUUUAUAUAUAUUAAUAAAAAAAUUAUUAAUUUUAUAAUUAUAUUUAUUUUAGAUAUAUUAAAUUUUAUUAAAUAUCAUAAAAUAUUUCGAGAAAUUUCUUAAAAAUAAAAUAGAAUUAAAUAGAGUUAUAAAAGUCAAUUUUUAUAUUAUUAUAAUAUGAAAAAGAAAAAUAAAAAAUAAUAUUAAAAUAAUAAAAAUAAAUAAAAAUUAUGAGAUGAAAAAAUAUUAAAUAAUAUUUCAUUAUAUUAUAUUUCUUUAAUAUAAUCAUGAUAUUAAAAUUUUUAAUAUUUAAAGCUGAUGACAAUAUUCAAAUAAUUUAUUUAGAUUCCAUCCUUAUAUUAUUGUAUUUUAAUUAUAUCUAUAAUGAAUUUUCAUGAAAUUUUUAUAAAAUGUUUAAGAGAUAAAAAUAUAUCAUUAUAGGAUAAUACUUUAUUCAAAUUAACUUAAAACUAUUGAUAUUUUUUCUUUUAAUUUUUUAUAAAUUAAUUUGAAAAAUGAAAAAUAAGAAAACUUAUUCAUUUAUCUAAUUUUUCCAAUUUUUCAUAUUUCAGUUUUCUUUUACUAUUUUUAAUUAAAACUUAUUUUUAUUACUUAAGGUACAUUAUAUUGAAAGAAAAAUAUUAUUUAUGUGCAACUGUAUAAAUAAUUUUAUGGGGUAAAUAUAAACUUUUAAUUUACGAUAACAUCAUACCUAAAAGUAAAUAUUAAAAAUAACUAUAACAAUUAAUUAAAAAAAUAAAGUGGCAUAAAAUUAAUUACUUUCAGACAACUUGCUUAUUUAUCUAUAAUUUUUUUUGUAACAGUGAAUUCUAUUGGAUAUCACAUAUAUAUAGACUAGGGGUGAGCAGUAUUCGGUUUAGACCGAAAUAACCAAUCGAACCGAUUAAUUUCGAAAAUUUAGUUCGGUUUUAUUUUUUUCGGUUCGAUUCGAUUUGAAAUUUUUAAAAAAUCGGUGAUUUCGGUUCGAUUCGGUUUUAGACGUAAAAAUUUCGAUUAGACCGAACCGAACCGAAAUCACCUAUACUACGUCGUUUUAAUAGUUCCCUAUUCCCUAUUUCCAUUCCCUUCCCUUCCCUUCCCUGCCCUAAAUCUAAAACAAAUUUCUAUCUCUUCGUGCGUGCCGCCAGUGCUCCUGCUCCAUCUUUAUCUCUGUGUUCAUCUCUGUGCUCUGCUCCAUCUCUCAUCUCUAUGCUCUGCUUCAUCUCUCAUCUCGCCGCGAGAUUCUCGCGCCUGUGCCUCCACUCUCCUCUCGACUGGACUGAUUCACCAUCGACGUCGGUCGUUGCUCUCUAUUGGCUCUCCACGCGUCGUCGGGCAGUGGACAAUCUCUCAUCUCUAUGCUCUACUCCAUCUCUCAUCUCGCCGCGAGAUUCUAGCACCUGUGCCUCCACUCUCCUCUCGACUGAACUGAUUCACCAUCGACAUUGGUCGUUGCUCUCUAUCGGCUCUCCACGUGUCGUCGGGCAGUCGGCAAUUUGGUCGUGCUUAUUCUACAGCCCUCAGUCCUCUCCGAGUAUCUAUGUCGCGUUUCCAGCCAUUCACGGUUGAAUUUGAGUAAACUGUAAAGGUAAGUAAAUAUUUAUGAUUUGCUGUUGAUUGUUGAAUUUGUGUACGUUUGAUUGUUGAAUUUGUGUGUUGAAUUUGUGUGCUGUUGAUUGUUGAAGUUGUGUGCUCUUGAUUGUAUCGAUUUAACCGAUCGAACCGAACCGAACCAAAUCGGUUUGAUUCGAUUAUCUCUCUUAUUUGGUGCGGUUCGAUUUAUGUAAAAUACUGCAAUUCGAUUUUCGAUUAUUUCGGUUCAGUUCUGAACCGAACCGACCGAAUGAUCACCCCUAAUAUAGACUAUAACAACUUUCAUCUGAACACUGAAUUCUAUUAAAAAUGGAAACAUGGAAAAAUAAUUUUUUGAAAAUUAUUAUUCUCGAUUAUAAUAAUAUUAAGAUAAUAAUUUUAUAAUAUUAUUACGAUACUGCUAUAUAAAUUUUAAUAUUUAGUAAUAUUAAAAUAAUACUUUUCAAAUAUUUUUUUAGGAGAGUAAGUGACUAAUAAUUAAAAGGAUCAAAAGUUAGUGGUUGAAAAUUUAUACUUUUCAAUAAUAUAUUUAUAUUUAUUUUUGUAAUUAUUUAAAAAAACUUAUAUUUACUGUGUAAUCCUAAUUAGUAUGACAUUAAUAUAUAAAUAUCAAGUCUUCUAUCUUCAGGAAAAAAAAAAAAGAACAUUCAUCUUUGUGGUUGAUGAAGAAAAUUAAUUACAGAAAGAACCAUGUACAUAUUUUAGAAAAUAAAAGCCAAGUCGAAGAGUGAUAAAAGCAGCGAUAUUUUAGAAAAUAAAAGAAAGAAUAAAACUUCGAGAGGGGUUUCUAAUUCCAUGAUUUUCAUUGUUUUCAUGAUUUGAGGUCUUUAAUUUCAAUUUUGGUCUACGGUUUACUUAGAAACUAAAAUUGAAUCGAAAUUUCGGUAUAUAGUUGAAUUUAAUUCCUUAUCAUUUUAGUUAUGUUUUAUUUCAAAUCUACAGUAAUAAAGUAAUGGGAAGGAGGAGCUACUCCUGCCAAAUGGGGCGGAAGUAGCCACCACACGGCGGAGAAAGUGGAGAGCUCUAGAAAGAAGAGGCAAAACUGAGAAAUUACAUCAAUGGUUGGAUUAGUGGACCACGCAUUGCUGGCCCGUUUUCGUUUAAGACCUGUUGCUUAAUUCCACCUGUAUGAAAAUAACGCUACUAGCUUUGGGAUUUCCAUUCAUCUUUUUCCAGUUUUGGAAUUCUCAAAAUUGAAGGAUUUUUUUUUUUUUAAAAAGAAAAAUAAUAUAUGGAUAAGUCUUGGAUGACUUUAAGAGGUUAAUUUUGUUGCUUAUUGGAGAAAAACAAAAGCAUACAUGAAUAAAACUCUCAUAUUUUAUUUUUUUUUGAAAUAGAGGUUGGGGGAGUCGAACCUUAGACCUCUCAAGACUACAAAGAUGCACUUUCCACCAGGUUAAGCCUCGAAGUGCAUUCUCAUAUUUUAUUUAUUUUUAUUUUUUAAAUUCAUACCUUUUAUAUUAUACGAGUUUUGAGUAAGAAUGAACUGUGGCAACAUUCUAUAAUUAAGUACAUACUUCUGCAAUGAUUGUGGUCUCUACACAGAUCUAACAACAAUUUCAAUGAAUUACUUAUUCUUUAUAUUUUUUAACAUUCCAAAAAAAAAAAAAAAAGAAAAAGUAAAACAACCCUCUGCAAUUCCAAAAUCAUUCAGAGGCUCUUAGGCACUUACAAGUAAUGAUUUUUUACAAGACAAAUCAUGGCAAAAUCAUUCCACAAACAAUUACUAAUAUCUUUUUAAUUUGUUAUAUAUUUAUAUAUGAUCUGAAAUGAUAACGCACUCUUUUAGAGAGCGAAAAAUCACUAUAGCUCCACACUUUUGGUUAUAAUUAGGAAAAAUUUACGAAAAUUUCCAACCAAUUCAUCAAUACUCUCCAAGAAAAAGAAACAAAACCACAACUAUCGAUCACAGCUUCACAAUUCCCUGCAGGAUAUCAUCUUUUGUUGAAGGUUCCAUGGCAUGGCACUCUCUACACGCCACCAAAAAUGACCUGAAAAAUCUCCGGCAAAUACCCGAUGACUUAUCUUUUUUCCCAUGUUGAUGAUCACCUUCUUUCUUUUUUAUCACCGCUGCAUUAUUUUUUCUCCUGGAAUCAUCACGUUUCAGGGCUGGCAUUGGCAUGACAUGUUGCCACCUUUGAGAAGAUCCAUAUAGCUGCUCCAUUAUAACUUUACUAGCCAUAGGAGUUUUUCUUGAAAGCUUUGUACUGUGAUAUAGUAAUCUCCUUUCAGAAUUGUCACUACUCCAACUUGUUCUUGCGCUGCUGCUACUCACACUGCUUCUACUGCUAUUAACACUGUUGCUUCUUGACGACAUGAGGGAACCUCUGCUGCUCAAGCUGCUGUUUCUACUAGAUGCUCGAGAGAUAGAUUCGAUAAGAACCAUGGACGUUGCUGGUGAUUGUUUUUGCUGUUGAAGUACUACUGGGAAAGAAUGAGGCAAGAGACGACCAUUGGAGAAAAGAUGAUCAGCUGGUGAGGACAUGUACGGAUCAUCAGUUGGAGGAAAAUCAGGUGUUAAACAACCGAAUUCGAAGUCGGAAUCUUGAUAUUGACUUGGAGUGCUAGGGAAGGAGAAAAUUUCUCUAGAGCUAGUCUUUUGAUGGUGGUGAUGCUCCAUGGGAGGUUUUUGGUGAAAGGGUGAUUUAAGCUUUGUAUAUAUAUGAAAGCUAUAAGGUAAAUGAUGAAGAAAAAUGUAUAUAUAUAUAUAUAUAUAUAAUUAUGUUAAAUUAUAGUGAAAAAUAAAAUAAUAAUGAAAGAUCUUUAUAUGCUUUUUGAUGGGUAGAAAUCACGAGGUCAAUACUUGCCAACUCAACCUCCAGUGAUCCAUGUACAUAAACAAGAAGUGAUUAGUUAAUGUGAGUGAAGUCUCUAAAGCUUGUUAUUGAAUAUAUACUUUUCUUUACUCGAUGUCCAAGGGCACAGCCUCCCAAAUAUACUCUUACAUAUAAAGCAAAAAAGACCUUUAAAGAAAGGAAGGUGGUCAAGCAACACGAGUACCAAUAACAAAAUGGUGGUGUUUGGGCUUCAAACUAAGGCCAUAAGCUAUGAUGGGAUCAACAAAAGUCUUUUCUUUUCUUUUCUUUUCUUUAUGCAGUGGAGCUGGGAAAGCUAUAAGAGAAAAUGACUAAAGAGUUUUUAAUGUGAAUUUUCUUGAUCACUGAUCUCCUCAAAAUGAGGACAAAUGAGCUCUUAGAAAAUUUGUUUUGUCUCCCAUUAGGGUUUCUAAGGAAACCUUUAGGUCCCAUAUGAGAUCAUGAUGCCUUAAGGACCACACAUCAUCCAGAUUUAUUUUUAUUCAUCAUGCCUUGAGGACCACAUAUCAUCCAGAUAUAGUCUUCUGUUUUCCCUCCCCACCAAGCAAGUUCUUUGUUGGUUCCCUUUGUUGAUACUCUAAUUAUGUCUUGUGGUAGGUCUACAUGUUAUUAAAGAUUUUUGUUUCAAUUUAUUUCUUUGACCAUUAACCAAAUUUUUGACUUGAAAUUCUUUUCUUUUUAUAAUUAUUAAUAUGCCUCGUUUAGGUUAUGCACUCGAUUGAAGUUCUGAUUUCAGCUUGGGUGUACCACUUGCAUGUAAUACUAGUAAAGCUGCUUCCUAAGUAUAUAUGAACGAUUAUUUUCAACUUUCUCUUUUUUUUUUUUUUUCUAUUUUUUCCUCUAAACAGUGAUAGUUAAAAGUUUAUUGCCAUAACUGGUUUUGAUUUACAUCGAUCAAACUCAUCAUAAGAGAAUAUAGUGUUGCUUUCUGAGUUUUAUAAUUGUAUUUAGGAUUCAAAUUUAAGAUCACUGAUUAAAUAAAAAAGUAGCUUAUAUUAUUCCACCGAUUAAAAAAAUAGCCGUGACAUGAGAGAAAUAUUUAUUCUGAUAGGAGUUUAAAAGGAUGUCAUAUAUGAUGUAAUAAAAAGAUUACAUAAUACAUUAAUUUAGAUGCUCAAUAUAUUAAAAAAAAAUUGAGUGAUGCUUUAUAAGGGCUUAAUGUACGUGUAUAUGUAGACACGUACAUAUUUUUUUAGGGACUAUGCCCUUAUGAGAGAGUGGGACUUCAACUUGGUCUAUUGGUGAAUGGGCCAGCUCAUUCUCUAAAAUGGCUAAGCCAUAUCUUAGACUAACUCCAAAUGAUGAGUAUUCUAUUCCUCAAAUUCAAUUGGAUUUUAGUCCACAUGCUUAAUUAUCAUUUGGCAUAUAUGUGGUGGCUCAUGUACUUGGAUCUGGCUCCUUGUGGCUUCACCCUCAAGGUCUAGCCUCUUUAACUAAGCUCAUGGGCCCGGUUCAUUACAGCCUAACCUUCUAUUAUAUUCCAUACCAUGCUUGUUUAGCAUUUAAGUCGGUAGAAGAAGUGAGGCUCAAUUUUGAGUAAGGGAUAGAAAAUAAAUAGUAUCGAGUUAAAAUUUUUCAUCUAUUUAUUUAAUUUCUUUUAGUUGUAUAUCUCGUAAAUUGUUUUUAGUUAUUGUGGCAAUGCAUAAGAAAAGAAAGCUAAAUUUUAAAAUGCACAUUUAAAUUUAAAUUAAUAGCGUAAGGAGAAAACCAAACCCGAAAUAGGUGUCUUGUGUCCGUACCCAAUUUGAUGGGACCAAUCCAUGACCACGAGGAGGCCCAAUUCUGCCGCGAAAUUCAACAUGCGAUUCGCAACUCUUUCUUCGUCGUCAACUGUUGGAAGAUCCUCAUCUCCUCCUUUUUAGUUUUACACCACUCUCCCUUUCGUUCACUCUUGGCCACUGUGAUCCUUGACUUCCAUAUCCAUUUCUCUCCAAACCUCCUAUAUAUUUGUAGCUGAGCUUCACCCAAAAAGCAAUGGCUGGCAAAGAAAUCUUACACAAGAUGAAGGUAUUUUUGCUCUCAUUCACUCCGUAUUUUUCAAUAUGUUCUCUGUAAGCACUAUUCAACAGCUUCUUAACACUUUCUUGCUAAGACUGGAUAUGCUGAGUUUGAGUUGAGACAUUUUCUCCACUCUUGAUUAUUCUGUCCCUUGGAUCUGGUUGAUUUUAUGGUAUCUGUGUAGAGAAUUUUGUCUGUUUGUUUGUUUGUUUGUUUGUACUCCUUUCAAUUGGGGGACUGGAAUGUGUGUGCUUGAGAUUCAAUUAGGUGAUUUUUUAGAUUUUGUUCUAUUGUUUGAGAUCACUACCAGAUGGGUUGCUGAUACUCUGGAGCCUAGAGAAGUUCUUUAAAUUUUCUACUCUGAGGAUGCGUUCUGUUGCAAUACAAGUAAGUUAUAUGGUGUGGAUUAGUGAACAAUUGAUAGGGAGCUAGCUGACGGGUUGGAAUUGAUGUGUAGUUAAUGAGUCAGUUAAGCUCCAACUAUAAAAGAACUUGUAACUGUAUUGAGAACUUUUUCUGGAAUUGUUUAAUGAGAAGGAUUGUGUACUGUGGCGACAUUUCCUCUAUUUUCUUGUUUCUUUCAUUUUUGUAUCACAACAAUUGGAAUCAGAGCUGUUGAUUCGCUGCAAUGGCAGGGAAGCUUGCUCUUGUGAAUGGAACUAGAGGUUUCUUGAUUCUUCUUUCUAGUUUUCUCUUCAGCUCAAUCCCCGUUUCUAUUUCUUGACUUCUAUGUUUCCAUUUCUAUUUUUGUAUUCUUCCUCGUAUUUUCUAGUUGUUUUCUUGAUUCUUUCUCUAGUUUCCAUGCUUGAAUCAAUUUUUUUUCUCUUCAUCUUUCUCUUAAAUUUCAUUUCUCAUUUGCAACAAGAAUCAUGGAUCAUUUCCUCUUGAAAUCACAAGGACAACGUCAGAGUUGGAUGAUAGAAGAUGUAAUGGUUUGUGUUUACGUUGUGAAGAAACUUAUUCAUUGGGUCUCAAUUGUGACAACUGAAAAGGCACCAUUGUGACCAUUAUUGAUGAUGAAGAAGAUAAAGAAGAUGAGAAACUAGAGAUUGCAGAGAAGGUAGAUGUAGUAUUUUCAGACACAAUCAUACCUGACUCUGAAUCACAAUUUGUUGCUAUUUGAACCUCGUGAACCUGCUCCUCAUGAAAUGACAAUGAAUUCAGUUGACAGCCUGCAGGAGGAGAUCUUAGAAGUGAGGCUUGCUGAAACUCAUAGUCAUGGUGGGCCAUGAAAGUUGAAAAGAUGACGUUUUGGGAAAACUGGAGUGUGGAAAUGAGGGGGCAAAGUUUGGCUUGAUUAAAUCAGCUCCUCUUUCAAGAGGGAAAAUAAAUGGGAAAUGUGGAGUUUGUGCAAGAGGAAGAUAUAGGAGUGUCUUCAAUGUUUAUAGGCGCUGGUAAAGCAUUUGCCAAACAGUUGGAUGAUAGUAAAAAAGUCAGCUGUCCUUCGAAAGUUCUUUGCAGUGUGUCUUGUGAUAGUUCGGGUCUCUUGCAACUUCAGCCGCUUCCUAUUGUGGCUGCAAUUGCUGCUGAGCAAAUAUGGAUUUUUUGGGGUUCAUUAGUUUGUUGUGACUUCAUUUCUAGAGAAAGAGAUUUAAAGUUAAAAGGCAUAAAUGUGGUGAAAUCAUAUCCGGGAAGAAUCAAACUUAGAUGUUCAAGUGUCAAGACCAAUUGGACAUUUGGAAAUAGUAAAAUGCAAGAUGAAGCACUGUAAAUUCCAAAAAGAUUCAAUUGGGCAUUUGGAAAUGAUAAAAUGCAAGAUGAAGUUCUUCAAAUUGCAAAGAAAAUUCAGUUUCAAUAUGCUGGUGAUUCUCAGCUUCGGUAUCCAAAUUGGCUCUUGAGGUCAAGUAGCUUUUCGAGGGAGUGAGUAUUGUUGUAAUACAAAUAAGUGAUACGGUGUGGAUUAGUGAAUAAUUGAUAAAGAGCUAAUGGGCGAUUGCAGAGUAGUUAGUUAGUCAAUUAGGCUCUGGCUAUAAAAGGACUUGUAAGUGUAUUGAGAAUUUAUUCUGGAAUUGAUAAUGAGAAGGAUUGUGUGCCGUUGAGCCUUUUCCUCUGUUUUCUUCUUUCCAUUUUGUAUGGCAACAGUUUUUGGGAAAUUCCAGUUACUAGGUGACAUUUGUUCCUGAACCUGAAAGAUUUGAAAGUACAUUCAAUACAAGAAUAAACAUCAAUGACUUAGAGCUUCAAUUUUUUUUCCCCCUGAGCUUUGUCUUUUCUUUUUUAGGUGAUCAAUUUGAUUUCUUGCGGAUGGAAUUUGUUUCAUUAUCACACGCACACAAAAAGAGGGUUCGAUCUUGACUAUAAUUUAUGUUUUACUUCACAAUUCACAUAUGAGGUAAUUUUUAGUAUAUAUUGUCGUGCACCCUGCACUAGGAGCCAAGAACAUGCCAAUUUGCUCUUUUACAUUUCCAAUUGCUUCUCUUUAUGUGUCCCCGUUGUUAUCUUUGGUAAUCAGUUAUUUGUGAGUGGUCAAUCUCCAAUUAAUUUUAAACAAGUAUGGGAGUACACAUUUUGUGAGUUCUGGAAGUGCUAUAUUGUAGCUGGCUUUGCUGGUUUUCAGCUAUAUUUGAUAUUUUAUUAUGCUUUAAUUUUCUGGUGGACUAUUUUUCAUUUGAAUUACCUCUUUGAAUAUGCAUAUCACAGGAAAAAGUUGGAUUAUGUUCAUCUACAGCCUCUGGAAAGGGCAAGAGUAAGAUGUCAAAGAAUGUAACACAUGGCUUUCACUUGGUGAAGGGAAAAUCACAUCAUGCCAUGGAAGAUUAUGUUGUUGCUCAAUUUAAGCAAGCUGGUAACAAUGAGCUUGGUUUGUUUGCCAUAUUUGAUGGUCAUCUGAGCCAUGUUAUUCCUGAUUAUUUGAGAUUGAAUUUGUUUGACAAUAUCUUAAAAGAGGUAAGUCAUGCUGUUUGCUUUUCAUGCUGCUGUUAAACUUCUUAAUCACUGUGGACACUGUUUUAUGUUUUUGAUUCAAUGGGGAGCUAAACAGCUCAAACCUAGGAUCUCUACCCAAAUCACCUCCCCACUCUCCCUCUAGCAGAACCACCUGAACUAAAUUACUUACGAGCUUUAAACUAUACCCUUGGGUUCCCUCUCUCUGUGGGUUUAGAUCUAUGAACUAUCAGUUGUGCUAAUGUGGAUUGUAGAAUUGCCAUUUCAAUUUGAAUUAUAUAAAUUCUUGCUGAAAUAUAGAUCAUUUCAUAAUCUGUGAAGUCUACAGUGGCAUCCCAGUUUGCUCUCUCUGUCUCUCUCUCUCUCUCAUAUUCAAAACCUUUUUUUUGUCUAGAUUAAAACCCCAUCCAUUUUGCAAAAACUACUGUUGUGUAGAUAUUUUCUGAUAGUUGGUCUUUACAUUGAGAAUCAAUCAAACUUAUUUCUGGCAUUUCAAGUACACUAGAAAAAUUGCUCCGACAAAGAAGACCAUUAGAAUGUUUUGACCUAGAGGGUUCUGUAUUUUUUUUUUCUGAUGGAGAAUAUUGUGAGAAUGUCUGGACCCUGAGGUUUAUAUGUUCUCAAAAUUGGUUUAAUAUAUUUCAAUGAAAUGACAAUUUGAUUAAAUAGAAGGUAAAUUAUUGUGGCCAAUGGCUAUCGAAAAUAACUUGUGAUAAUUGAUGGUAGUUAGACUAGUGGGUGUUUGAUGGUGAGCUUAUUGACAUUUUCGAUAGUCAAAAUUUUCCAGCAUUCCUAAAACACUAUUUCCAUGUUUGAAAUCAAGAAAUUUAUAAAAAUUCAAGUCAAUUGAUUUUUUUUUUACCAAUUCUUGUGCUUGGAAUGAAAGAACUUAAUUCUUUUUAACUUGGAAAUAUUCUCAUUUCAAAAGAAAUAAUAGUAUUCAUGCAUGAUUAUAUCAUUUAAAUCAUUUUCUUGCAGAUGAUUUAUUACAAAUGAAGCAUAUAAGGCACAAAUAAUGUUUUAAUCAAAAUAUUUUCUAUGAAACAAAAUGGAGCCUAAAAACGAGUACUAAUUUUCAUGUUUAUGCUUUCAGCAUGCAGUUGGCAUAGCUAAAUUUGAGGAAAUAAAUCUGUUUUUUUCUUUUUCAAUUUUUUCCUGCGAGUAGCCAGACUUCUGGAAAGAGCCAGAAAAUGCCAUGAGGAGAGCAUAUCAUAUUACUGAUACUACUAUUUUGGACAAAUCAGCUGAUUUGGGUAGGGGGGGUUCUACUGCAGUCACGGCAAUAUUAAUCAACUGUCAGAUGCUGGUAGUGGCCAAUGUUGGUGAUUCUCGAGCUGUUAUCUGCAAGAAUGGCAUGGCCAAGCAACUCUCUGUUGAUCAUGAACCAAGUGUAGAAAGGAAGGAUAUUGAGAACAGAGGUGGUUUUGUAUCCAAUUUCCCAGGUAAGAACUUCACCAGAUAAAGGGAAACAUGGUUAUGCGAGUUUUUGACUCCCACAUGAACAUUAUUAUUACACCAUUUAAAAGUAUAUAGUUUGAAUUAAGAGUUUUAGCAUCAUAAGCACUGUCUAUUGUUGCUCUGCACAAUGCCCAUUGGAAUAUUGAGAAAUGCGUUCAACUUGAUGAUGAUUCUCUUUAACAGGAGAACAUGGGGUUGGUUAUCUUUUUGGUGUGCCAUUCGAAAAUUAUCUAUGCCCUUAUAUCAAACUGGUGAAGUCCUGUGUUCUGAGUAACACUAACCAACCUCACAUGUUUGCACACCUUUCCUUUGCUGUCGUUUACUUGUUACUUAUUUCUGUCAUGGGUUGAAGUUGAUAUCCUAUAAGAUUGUCAGCCAUGUGAUUGGUUGUUACCUUUGCGGUUUGUCCUAGUUUUUGUUGGCCAGCAGUAAAAUAUAAAUUUUAUGCAUUCAGGGGAUGUUCCACGUGUUGAUGGGCAAUUGGCGGUGGCAAGGGCAUUUGGUGACAAGAGCUUGAAAAAGCAUCUUAGCUCAGAGCCGGAUAUCACAAAGGAAGUGAUUGAUGAGGACACAGAAUUUAUUAUCUUAGCUAGUGAUGGAUUGUGGAAGGUUGGUCCUAUGGAGAACUUUCACUAAACUUUAAAUGUCUUCUGCCUUGACCUUUGUUGCGAUGAUACAACUUUUUGUUUCCCCCUGGAAAAAGUAUUAAAUAAAAUCUGUUCUUCUGGUAUGAUGCCAGGUGAUGUCAAACCAGGAAGCAGCAGAUGCUAUUAAGGACAUAAAGGACGCUCGUUUGGCAGCAAAACACCUUGUAGAAGAGGCACUUAAUAGGAAGAGCAAAGAUGACAUUUCCUGCAUAGUUGUAAAAUUUCAGUGAUCUCUGAACUCCUCUUGGAUUAUUCGUUUGAUGAAUAAUUCCCAGAUACCUGUAAUUUUCCUGUAACAUUAAUAAACCUUGUAAUAUUUAUUUUCUGCCUCUUCUGUAGUAGUUCUGGUCUUCUAUUGCAGGAAGAGCUUGCCUGCUGUAUUUGGAAGUUGGAGUACAGAUUUCUGGUUUUGAUCUUCUCAUCAACUGUUGAUAGUAAUGUAAGGGGUUGAGCUUGCUGGUUCUUGGGUUCUUGUCUCGGUUGGUUUCCCCCUUUCUGUAUUACAUUCUCGCUUAUAAAAAAAACUACUUAAAAAUUUAUUUAAAUCAUUUUUCAAUUUUAUUUUAGAUAAUAGAAAAUAAACUCGUACAAAGUAUUUCAGUCUUGAAGAUGCGAACUGAAAAUAAUCAAUGAUCAUAUUAAAGGUGAUGCAGCUUUGAAACUAAACAGUAGUCCUGUAUUUUUCAAGGUUACUGUUUUCUUAUUUGAUUAUGCACAUUCUUUUAUAUUGAAUUAUAUCUUGUCAACUCUGCCAUAGUUGCUGAUGGAUACUGACAACUAUCUUCCUCUGUUUUUUCUCCUUCAAAGUUGAAAUGGCCUCAUCUCUGAGAUGGAAGAUUCCCUCCUGAACAGCAAAUUCCCAGCAGGUUUAUCUUAUUACUUCACUCAUCUUCCUCCAGCCCUUUCCUUUGUAGCGCUUUUGAGAACGAUUCUCUUUUAAUAUGCUAUUACUAGUCUUUUCAUUCAAACUUCUAAGGAUUCUUCCCAAUGAACCCGUCAAAAUAAACAAAAAUACAGACUAAUUAUGGUAGUUUGAAUCUUCUGCACUCUUGCACUGCGAUACGUACACUCCAUCACUAUAAGAUAGAUAAUUUACAAUGUUGAAAUUCAAUGAUGAAGUCCAAACAUUUCAGGCCAACUUGAGUCUGAGUGGUGCUCCACCCUUGGAAAAGGAUUCCUCAUUAUUGUAGCAAAGGAAGAAUGAAGAGCCUUACCAAAUUCAUAUAUGACCAAAUGAAAGUUCAAAAGAUAAUAUUAGCUAGUCAUUCCAAAGCAAUCAACAACAUUAUAUAUAGAAUAACAAGUACAAGAGUGAAAUUCCAGAAAGCACUAGCACAUGUAUAUUAUAUAAUAGAGACUCCAAUCCAUUCUCUUUUAAUAAGAAAUUUCGAGUUCGAAUCUAAGUUUGGAAUACAUUGAAAACUGAGAAUUUGAAAACCGAGAAUGAGUCUAUCCAAUGCGAAUCCAAAUUAGUUGAGCCAGUCGAUUACGAAUAUCAAAAGAUAUAUACCCAAAAUAUAUAUAUAAGAUUUAGGACAAUAAACAUCAUAUCAAACACAUACCACUUAAUUAUAAAAGUCUAGUUUGCAUGAUGUAAUAUAUAAGAAUACAAUAACUACAUAUGACAUACAACAACAUGAAGUGAAAGCAAACUUGCCUCAACUUCCACAUAAUGAUUCAUGAUAUAUUGUCCUUAUAUUCUUGUAGAUAUAAUAUAUAUAGCAUACUGAAAGUGCUUGAAGCUAGGCAUAAGAUGACAGAAGAGAGGGAGCAUGGUGGGGUUCUUUGUUCACAGGAUUUGGGAUCGUUUGUAAGUAGCAGAAUUAUUCCCUGGUAUGGUUAUAUGAUAUUUGCCUCUUUCAUCAGCUUGCCUGAACUGGCUUUCCUUUAACUGAGCCUGUCCACCAAACAACCCUUUGCGGCCGCUGGACCCUUCCCCGUAGGAUUCAGCUGAGCUCUUCCUUCGCCUCUCGUUGUGUCCUGCCAAACGCCUGCGGCAACUCCUUUUUGCUUCAUCAAACUCUGACAGCUCAUGGAACCUUAAAAAGCUCAAAUAACAUUAGGUAAAUGGAAUAAUAUGAAUAUUCUUGUCUGUUCAAAUGCACUUUUACAAGAGAAAUCAUGUCAUUUUAAUUAUAAAUAUGAAAAUGCACAUGAAAUUUAAAAGCACAUGUUUACCUGCUGCAUUGUUGACAAAACCUCUGCCUAAUGCCAGAAACAAUGACUGCUGGUGCCUUUGCAUGAAUCUCACACACCUUAUGUCGCCUGUGGUACCUCUUAGCCUCGGUUAAAUCAGCUCCACAUCUCUCCACCUGGCAAGACGGCGACGAUGACCCGCCGCUGCUGCCACCUCCACCACUAUUCCCUCUCUUCCCAUGCACCAUACCAACUCCUUUUUUCUUCUCAUCAUCAACAAACCCACCACUUCCGUCUUCUUCUUCCAUAUCAUCAUCUAAAUCUUCAUCAACAAUGCAAUCAUCUUUGAACAUCACUCUUUCUCUGGAACUGCGCUUCCCUUCAUGUGCUUUGGCAUCCAUUGUUAAAGAGUUGGCUGGGCAAAUGAAUAUGUGGUACUUGAAGUACUUAAAGGAAGGCUUGAGAGAGAGAGAAAGAGAGAGAGGACACAAGGGUGAUAAAGAUGGAUGGAGGACCACAAAGCUACACUUAUAUAUAUUCUUGGGUGUUUGUAUUGAGUGUAUGUGCGUGUUUAUGUCAGUGAAAAAAGUGGAUCAUUGCAAGUUUUGAAAGAAAGAAUUAAAAGAAAGAAAAGGGUUUGUAGUUAAGCUUCUUUUUCUGCCUAAAUCUUGUUCUUGGGGGUUAUAGAGUGAUAGUUUCAUUUGGUACUGAAGCUUGUGCUGUGCUCACUCUCAAUUAUUGAUCCCAAAGGUGGUCCUGCCUCUGAAAAUUAUUUUUAAGAUUUGUUAUUUAUAUAUGCAUUCUUAUUAAGCCACCCAAGCCCUAAUAUGAGUGAGUAUCGAGUUCUGGUAUAUAUACCUGAAUCAUCAAUGAAUUAUUUCAACACUCUAUCUAUGUUUUGAUAACUAAUGCCUCCUCGUUGGAAACCACUUCAAUCUCAUAUUUUGUAAUUUUUUUUUCUAGAAAACCAUAUAACUUGCCUAGAAUACACCAUGUAUCACCUCUAAGUAUAUGGUCACUCACAAAAAAUCAGUUUUUUAUCAACUCAAAAAAAUACAUAUGAUCCAAAACAUCGAUAUGGAAAUAACAUGAAAGCAUCAAUGAUGCUUAAUAUUAAAGAGAAUUAGCCUUUUUCUCCAAAUAUAUACUAUAAUUUUAUUAAUGAAUAAAUCAGAAAAAAACUUAUUAAUGUGGAUGUGUAUAAAUGUCCAAAGAAAUUUGAUUUUUUUAAAAAAGGUUUUAGGACAGAGAAAGAAGUGAAAAACAAUGUGAAGUGAUAAUAGUGGUUGGCAGAGGUAUGUGAAGGACACAUCAGAAUUUUGAUUGUAGUGUUAAAUGUAGGGUACGGCACCAGUGCAAUGGUUGCACAAAAUUCUGCUUCUUUAAGUUGGACAUGCAGAGUUCCCUAUGCUUCAUCUCUUCUCUUUUCUUUUACACCCAUGCCCAUGGACCUUUAUUCUCUCUCUCUCUCUCUCCUUUUUGUUCUUCUGUCGUUAUUACAAGAUGUGAGAUUUGAUUUCAUGUGCAUGAAUCAUCAAUCAUCAUCUUUUAAUUAUUAAACUAGAUUCUAUUACAAUCGAUGUUAAUAUAGCUUAUAUCAUAUGUUUGUAUUCAUACAGCCUAGCUUUCAUGAUUUUCUUUUAGGUAAAUUAGAUUAAAAAAUUUAAAUUUUUAUAUAAAAUUUUAAUUAUAUCUAUUUAUUUUUGUAUAAAAUAAUUAAACUUUUGAGAUUAGUUACAAUUAUCUUUAUAUUUUUAAAUUAAUUUAACUAAAAAAUUUAUCAAUAUUUAUGAUCUAUAAUUAUUUUGUUAUCAUCAGCAUAAUUAAUUCACUAAUCGAGAAAUUUAGACGAAUUUGACAAUCACUUUAAAAAAAAUAAGUUCAAUUUUAACUGACAUAAUAAUCGAUUAAGUAAGCUAGUUUAAAAGUAAAAUCUAAAGAAUAUAAAUUUAAAAAUUAUAUCGCAUUAAUAAAAUAUUAUUAAAAUUUAAAAAUAAUUUUUGAAUAAUCCAUGUAGAAAAUGAUAAAAGUAAAAUUACGAUAAUAAGAGAAGGUUAAUUGGAAUUUAUAUUUCUUGAACUCAAAUGAGAAGUUACAUUAGUUCAUAUUGAGUGUUUUUAUGAAUUUUAUUCGUGGAGUAAAGUUGAAGCAAAAUAAGAGGAGAAAAUUGAGAUAAAUUGUAAUUAAAUGUUGAUUAAAAAGUUUGAUGAUGUGAUAAUUAAUUUAAAUUAAAAAAAAGUCACCUAUUAAUGGAUAUUUUUUUUUAUCAAAAUUAAUUUAGAGAAAUGGAUACAAUAAUAACUAAUUUCAAAUUUCAAAAAGAUUCAAUAUUUUACAUAAUAAUUAAAAAAAUAAAUAUAAUUAAAAAUUCACAUAAAAAUUUAAAUUAUUUAGUUCAAUAGGCCUUUCUUUUAUAAUGAAAAUCAGAAUCUACCAUUUUUUUUCACAUUUUCUUUUUUUCAAGAAAUUUGUUGGUAUAAACCAAACUCACUACCUGAUUUACAAAAUAACGUUAAAAUUAAUGGCCUUUCACCUCCUACUUGUUCUAUACCUUUCAAAUUAUUUCACAGAGUCAGACUAAAGUCAAAGCAUAACAAGACUUGACGGUUUUAGCCUUUAGAAUUUGUUUUUUGAAAUGAAAAUUAAGGGAAUAAAAUUAAAAUCUCUCAAACUUAUUUAAAUACACUUAUUAUCAGAUUAAAACUAAGACUGUGCAGCAUUUAAAAUUUAUAAUUAUAUAUAUUAUAAUAUUUUUAUAAUUUUAUAUAUUUAUACCAUUUAAUUCUUUAAUUAAAUGUAAAAUUAGAUGGUUAAUAUUUAUUGACAUAAAAAUUAAAUAAUUUAAUUUUAUAAAACAUAUGAACAUGUAAUUAAAUAUAUUUUUAAAAAAAAUUAAAGAUCUAAUAACAAGUAUGGCUAUGGUUAUAGGAGGAAGGAAUUGAAGUGCAUAUAAAUAAAAAUUAAAUUACAAAUUUUUUUUUAAAAUUUUUUUUGAGGAAAGUAAAAAAUAGUAGCAGGAGAUAUGAUUAUAUGAUAGGACCCCACACAAGUUUUUCACGUGGCUACCGUGCCAUCAAAAAUUGCAUCCAGGACAUGACAAAGACAUCACACUCACUACUUAUAUUGAUAGAAUCAAAUUAAAAAUUGAAGUUAUUGAUAAAUAAUAAUUGAGAAAUUUUAAUCAUAUAAAAAAAUUAAAUAAAUUUAAUUUGAUAGUGAAUGUAUUUAGAUAAAUUUAAAAGAUUUUAAAUUUUAAUUUUUUAAUUUUUAAUUUUCAAUUAAAAAAAUUAAAUUUUAUUUUAUUUUUACAUGAUUAUUAAGAAGCAAUUAAUGAUUUAAAGUGGAAAAAGAAAGAUAGAAGAGUAAAAAAAAGAAGAGAGAAUCAUGGGUGAGUUUUGAUUAAAAUUGGAAUUUAUGCUGGGGAUAGGAUUCCUGACCAUCAUUAGAGUUGAAAUUGCCAAAACAACAACAACUAAAAAGAUAAAAGAAUAAAAAAAAUAUUGACCAAUAGAAAGGUCACAAAAAUUUUUGGACGAAUAAAAAAAAAAAAAAAAUCAAUGGUCAUUUAUNNNNNNNNNNNNNNNNNNNNNNNNNNNNNNNNNNNNNNNNNNNNNNNNNNNNNNNNNNNNNNNNNNNNNNNNNNNNNNNNNNNNNNNNNNNNNNNNNNNNNNNNNNNNNNNNNNNNNNNNNNNNNNNNNNNNNNNNNNNNNNNNNNNNNNNNNNNNNNNNNNNNNNNNNNNNNNNNNNNNNNNNNNNNNNNNNNNNNNNNNNNNNNNNNNNNNNNNNNNNNNNNNNNNNNNNNNNNNNNNNNNNNNNNNNNNNNNNNNNNNNNNNNNNNNNNNNNNNNNNNNNNNNNNNNNNNNNNNNNNNNNNNNNNNNNNNNNNNNNNNNNNNNNNNNNNNNNNNNNNNNNNNNNNNNNNNNNNNNNNNNNNNNNNNNNNNNNNNNNNNNNNNNNNNNNNNNNNNNNNNNNNNNNNNNNNNNNNNNNNNNNNNNNNNNNNNNNNNNNNNNNNNNNNNNNNNNNUUAUUAUUAUAAGUUUGGUGGUACAUUGAGUCUUUUUAUUUUUUUUUUAUUUUUUAAUAUAAUUUUAUUUUUUAUUAAAAAAUAAUUUUUUCAAAGUUUUGUUAAAAAAUAUUAUUAUGUAAAAAUUCAUUUAAAUCAUCUUCCUAUAAAAUAAUAGUUUCAGAGAGAAUUAUGUUUAUAAAAAAAUUUAAAUUAAAUAUAAAUAAAAACAGUUACAUCUGUCAAAAUAAUCCGAACCAAAACUAGAAUAAAGAAAGAAAAAAUUCUGCGUAGUAUCUAAGCAUAUAAAAAAUUCAAUUUCAAUAAAAGAAUUUUUUUUAGAACAAAAAUCUACAUCAAAUACCCUAAUUUUAAAAUCGACAAUAAUUGUAUCCGAAAUUCAAAAUCAAUUUGUAGAAAAUUAAAAUUUUCUUACUAUGAAUGCUAAAUAUGUACUAAUUUAAUAAAAUAUAUGGUGUUUUCUAUGUGUACAAAAUAAAUCAUAAGUGAAUGCAUACUUUUUUUUAAUUAUUUUUCUUUCAACCACGUAUUGCUACUCUUGAUUUUUAUUUAAAAAGUCACUUUGUAUUUCACUUUUACUUGCAUUAUAUUUAAUACAAGUUUUAUAAAUGUAUUUAUUUAAUUAUUAUAUUUGCAUUAAAAAAUACCGUUGAAUUUUAUAUCAGUUUAGACACUCCUUAAACUUAAAUUAAUUUUUCUUUUAAAUUAAAGCCGAACGAAAUUUAAUAUAUAUUUUUUCCUUUCAGAUAUAUCAAUUUUAUACAAAUAAAACUAUUAAGGCUUUCAAAUUUUAAUCGACCGACAUGUGAUGCACACGUAAUAAGAAGAUUAAACAUAUUAAAAUAUUAUCAUUAUUAAAAUUUAUAUAAUUAUAAAAUUAAAUAAAAUAUAUUAAUUUCUUUUAAUUUUUUUCAUCUCGUCAUUAGAAAAAAUCCAUUAAAUGGAGUAUUGCUAAUUAAAAAAUUAAACUAGAACCUCCUAAGAAUAUGAGAUGAGGCUAAUUUACUCUGGAAAUUUUAGUUUAAGGAGAAAUAACACUUAAAAAUAUAAAGAGUGUAUUACUCUAUUUUAAAUUAAUAUGAGAAUUUAAUAUACCUUCUCACACUUAAAAUUAAAUAUUCGGAGCAUGAUGUUCUGAUAAUAAAUUCAAUAUUUAAUAGGAGACUAAUACUAUUUUAAAAAAUAAAUCGUGUCUAUUUUAUUCAUAAAAAUUAAUUUAAAAAGAAAAAGAUUAUCUUAGAUUACAAGAGACACGUUACCUUAUCUUAAAUUAAUGUAAAAUUUAACUUUGCAUUUCGCCAUUAAAAAUGACUGACAUAAUUACGGGCCGAUAUCGUUUUAUUAUGCAUUAUUAAAAAAAAAUCUUUAUCAACAUCGUUCAUGACAGUGCCAAACGUGAUUAGUAUAAAUUAUCUUAUAAUGAAGUUAAAUAGUUAUAUUUUAUAAAUUUUAUUAUUGAUAUUGUUAAAAAUUAAAUAUGUAAUUACACUUCUAAAAAAUUCAGAUGUGAAAAUGAAAAAGAAAUAAAGUGAGAGUGCAAAAUAGUUGUCAGAUAAAGAUAAUUGGAAUUGCAGUUAUAGGUCAUUUUCGAUUUGCACAUAGGAAAAAAAUGAAUAUUGGAAUUAUGUUUAGUUGUUUUUUAGUGCCAAACGUGAUUAGUAUAAAUUAUCUUAUAAUGAAGUUAAAUAGUUAUAUUUUAUAAAUUUUAUUAUUGAUAUUGUUAAAAAUUAAAUAUGUAAUUACACUUCUAAAAAAUUCAGAUGUGAAAAUGAAAAAGAAAUAAAGUGAGAGGGCAAAAUAGUUGUCAGAUAAAGAUAAUUGGAAUUGCAGUUAUAGGUCAUUUUCGAUUUGCACAUAGGAAAAAAAUGAAUAUUGGAAUUAUGUUUAGUUGUUUUUUUUUUUUUUUUUUUUGAAAUGGUAUGUUUAGUUGCUUUCUAUUCAUGUUUAGAUCAAUCUUUUCCAGCUGGAAUUUUAUUUGGAAAUUAAAUGAACAAAGUAGAGAGCGUAUCAGAUUCUAUGAGUUUUUAUUUUUGUUUGAAACAUGCAAAUCGACAAAAUUUAUGCACUUUGAGGAUAGAAUGCUAAAUGUGAGACAGCUGCCUCUUCUCUCAAUUUAUUCACGUUCCUUAUAUUUUUGGCCAAAAAAUUAUUUAUAUUUUUUUAAUAUUUUUGGUAUUUUUAUAUUUUUAAUUCUACAAUGAUAAAUACUUUUAAUAUUUAAGCAAUUUAAUUACUAUUGUUAAUAUUUAAUUUUUUAAUUUUUAGUAUUAAAAAUAAAAGAAUUAUGAAAUAUUAGAAUAAACCACCAGAACAUAUUAUAUUUUAUAUAUAUAUCAAAUGUUGAUAGUAACCCACCAAAAACUUACAAAAAAAAAAAAGAAGGAAAAUUCAGAUGAAGAAUUGGGAAAACAAAGAAGCUAGGUAGAACCAGCUUUAUCCCAGAGUUUGUAUGCCCUUGUUAGGCUAGAUCAUGACAUAUGGGUCAAUUCAUUGAAAUAGGGCUUUUGCUUUGGCAAACUCUUACUUCAGGGAGUUCAUAAAUUGGUUUGGGCCUUCAAAUUAAAAUUUAUUUUAAUUGUUUAAAGUGCAAUUAUUUUCCACUUCACUGUUAUAAAACUAUAUUGAUUAGAAAAUUUGAUGAUGAGAAUUGAUAGCCCUUUUGAGAAACCCUUCACUGCUAGCUUUGAAACAAUUGAUUGCAACACAAAAUUGAAGAGAGGAUUUUGAUGUGGAACAAACAGCAACGCCUUAGAAUUGAGGACUUGCAAAAUCCAGUAUGCAAUUGCCAUGGUGCAGUGGUGAAAUGAUGACAGGAGUAGUAGCAAUUAGGGUUUGAUAUGAAUUGGGGUAAUUUAAUAAUUUUUAGUUAGAUUUAGAUAAAUUUAAAUAAAAAGUUUUAAUCAGUCAUAUUAAAACUAAUAUAUUUGAUUUAAUCACCAAAAUGAAAAUACAUUUUUUAUUGGUUUAUGCCAAUUAAUUAAUUAAUAAUAAUAAUAAUAAAUAAUUCAUUAAUCAACUUAUUUAUUUGUUAAUUUAUUUUUAACAAUUCUUUUCUGUGGUAUUAGAAGGAAAAGGUACGGCAAGUGGAAAAAUAUGGCGGAGACCAAGAUAAUAGGCGUCGUUGGCAGUGGCCAGAUGGGCUCUGGUAUCGCGCAACUUGCCGCCGUAUACGGGCUCGAUGUCUUGCUCCUUGACACGGAUCUUGCUGCUCUCUCCAGAGCUAGAAAAUCUAUUGCCGGUAACAUCCAGCGUCUCGUCUCCAAAGGUCACCUCUCUCAGGUCAAUCAAAUAUUAUAUGUUUUCUUCCUGUUGGUUGUUUUGUCUAAUGCUUUGUUUGGUUGGAGGGAAGAGAAAAGAAAAGAAAAGAAAAGAAAAGAAAAGAAGUUUCUCAAAUUUGUCUUGUUUGGACAUGAAUUAGGAGAGAAGAAGAGAAAGGAGAGGAAAAGAGGGGAAAUUGUAUUUCCCAAUUUGUUGCAAAUGCCCCAACAAAUUUCCCCCCAAUUUGGUGGGAAAGAGUGGGAAAUAGGUAUAAAGCACCUGCAUAUACUUCUUUCUUUUACAGGAGAAAUUUGAUUUCUUCUCUAAACUACUUAUUUAUCCAAACAUCAUAGAGUAAAUAAAAAUUUUUUUUCUUUUCUUUUCUAUUCAUUUCCUCUCUUUAAUUUCUCUCCAAUUCUCCUGCACAAUUAAGGAUCGAAACAUAGGGUAAGGAGUUUUAUGAGUUUCUAAGUUAAAAUUGACAUAUUCGGUUAAUCAACAGACUCAAAACGCUUCUUAUUAAGUUAAAAAAAUGCUGGGUGUCGGAAUUUGUAUAUCCAGACCCCACCGACGGUCGACUCCAGCCUAAAACCCGAAUUUGAACCUAGCAAAUGCAUACCCAUUUUGAAGAGUAGCACGUUGUAAAAUUGUGCAUAUAUCUGCACUAUAAGGGAAGUGCUUGCUUGCUUUUACCCUUGCCAACCAUAAAUACAAACUUGUGUGGCUGGUAAGAAUCACCAAUUUACUCUAUUUAUUCUUUCAUUCUUAUUGUGUAUUGGCUUGUGAAAUAAUUAUCUGUUGGUCUUAAUUUUAUCCUUUUAUUGUUUAUGUGCCACUUUAAUCUAAUCAUUAUGCAAACUUGCGGUUUUAAUGAUUUUAGGUUCAAAUUAGAUUGGGUCUUGAGAGUUGAAAUAUUUUUUGAUGGGAUUUUAAGCUACCAACUGAACUUUUACACUGAAAUAGUUGGUUCCGGUGUUAGUAAGAUGUUAAUAGGAAUAAUGGGAUUGAGCUUUAUUAACUUCAAGAAUACCUGGCUACUGUGAGAAUAAGAUGUUGAUAAAAAUAUGGUUUUCCCGUAAACCCAUGUGCAUGAACUUUAAAAUAUUAUGCCUAUUCCACUUGACAGGCAGCUUUCAGUGAAGCUGUGGGGCGUCUAUAUUGCACCUCAAAGUUGGAAGAGCUGCAUGAGGCAGAUUUUGUUAUUGAAGCUAUUGUGGAAUCUGAAGAUGUGAAGAAAAAGUUAUUUCUUGAACUAGAUAAGAUUGUUAAAAGUUCUGCCAUUUUGGCUUCCAAUACAAGUUCUAUCUCCAUAACACGUCUUGCCUCAGCAACUAGCACGCCGAGCCAGGUUGUGCUUAGAUUAUUUCUUCUUUUACCCUUAGUUUACCUUGGAACAUAUAAUAAGCACAUUUAAUUCAUUAAAAUAUCUCCCAUAUCAACAUUUUGUGCGAGUCUACUAUGGAGUUUCUUUCUUCCGUUUCAUCAUGUUUAUGCAUUAUUUUCAACAAAUCAAGAUUCUAACUAGGUCAUGGAAAACAUAUCAUCUGCAGGUAAUUGGCAUGCACUUUAUGAAUCCUCCCCCAAUAAUGAAAUUAGUUGAGAUUGUGCGUGGUGCAGACACAUCAGAUGAGACAUUUUACGCAACCAAGACCUUGGCAGAGAGGUGACCGAAAUACACUCUUACUAGAAACUUAAUUGCCGUUUGAAUGAUUAAAUUUUGGUAUUCGCUGUAUAUAUAAUGAUGGGCAUAUGAAAAUUUAAUUUAUUUUUAAUAUUAGCUUAUACAAGUGAUUGAACUUCUUGUGCAUCAAAAUGACUAGAUAAUUCGAUAUUAAAGCUCAAUUAUUUAUAUUGUGCACUUCCAUUAUUUAUAUUUUCAAUAUGGGACUUUUUACCCAAUUAAUUUCCCAAUGCUUCCCUGUGAGUGCAAACACAUGGUUAUUACUUGACAAUUAAUUGGCAUUAAUUCAAUAUGGGCUCAAUCAUACGGCCAAGUGAGUGGUUAAUCUCACAGCCCAAUCAGAGCUCGAAUAAUAUAUUAAAUUUGAAGAGAGUGACAAACAUAUUGUACUUUAAUUCAUUUUUAGUAUGGAAUGUACAAUUUAUUGAGCUGUUUGCGCAUAAAAAAUGACUAAUCAAUCCAAUAUUAGUAUAUCACAACUCAUCCAUUUAUAUUGCGUCAUUCCAUUAUUGAAUUUUCAAUGGGACUUUCUACCAAAUUUAUUUCCCAACAUAUGCAUGUGCCUGCGAUAAAAAACUUUGUUAUACUUUAACAUCCAUUAAAUAUUUCUGGAUGGUCUCUAUUCUUUGUUUCUCCUCUGUUUUUAAGUUGCAGUAGGCAAACAGAAUAUCUCUCUUCCUUUUUUUUUUUAUUGUCCUUACUGCAUUAUAAUAAUUACAGUCCACUAUCUGCUUUAACACCAAUGGCUGUUAUAUCUGCAGGUUUGGCAAGACAGUUAUAUGCUCACAGGAUUUUUCUGGUUUCAUUGUAAACCGAAUUCUAAUGCCAAUGAUAAACGAAGCAUUUCAUACUCUUUAUACAGGAGUGGCAACAAAGGAGGACAUUGACACAGGAAUGAAGUUAGGAACAAACCAUCCAAUGGGUCCUUUAGAGCUUGCAGAUUUUAUUGGAUUAGAUGUCUGCCUGUCAAUAAUGAAAGUGCUUCAUGCUGGCUUAGGGGACAGUAAAUAUGCUCCCUGUCCACUUCUCGUGCAGUAUGUUGAUGCAGGUCGUGUUGGACGAAAACGUGGCAUCGGAGUAUAUGACUAUCGUAAAUCCCUUGAACAAGUAAAGCCAUCAGCUCGGCUUUGAAAUUUAUAGCAUAGUAUUUUGCCAAUAGUGUAGUGCUUUGUAAAUAAAUUACAUGCAAAUAAGUGUCCAAUACCAACUCCUCCUACUGUUGUUUUCUUCCUUUGGAUCCUUGCAAAUUAAGAACAAGCUCCCAGAAGGUGGGCAAGAUUCCCCCAUCCCCACACUUAUAUAAGGGGAAGAUUGUGCUUGAAGUAAUGAACUUCACAGACUUUUCUAUCAUCUGUUCAAAUAUAUUGAUGAAUUGUUAAUAUUAUAGCCUAGUAGAUUCUUUAAUAAGACCUCAAUAUGACAUUGCCUUGUCAUUUUGUUAUAUUAUAACUCAGAUACCAAGCAGAUGAUUUGAUGUGAAUCUAAUUCGAUGUAAAUCGGUUUACUUUGGUAUUCUUUCUAUUAUCUUAUUUUCAAUAAUAUUCUGAAUUCUAUCAGAUACAAUGAUGGUGAUAGCAUCGAUUUAAAAUUAUUGAGUACCGUAAUGCGACAGUAUGCACGCCUAGAAGAUCCCAAGGGAAGUUCCAGAGCCUUCAAUUUUAACAAUGUCAGACGCUUUUUGAGUAUGGAAGUGACGAUAAUUCCACGUCACUCCUCUUCACAAUUAUUAUUAUUAUCUUCUUCUUCUACCGGCAAAAGCAACCCUGAAAGUCGCAAACUAGAUUGCAAUUCACAUGCUUUAUUUAUCUUUUCUUUGUCCACAUUUAAAGCAAACUCAGAUUCACCACCACCACCAUGCUUGCUGUUGAUUAUGCUUCUUGCUUGUCCAUGAACAAAAAAAAAGGAAAAAAAAAAAAGAAAAUUUGUUAACAAAAUUUCCAAUUAUGAUCAUUGAAUUCUAACCCAGUUGAUAUCAAUAUAACUCAAGAUUUGAAACUUUUCUAGCUACAUGGUAAUGUAAAUUAAAUUUAUUGUUUCUAAGCACUAGGGAAUCAUUUAGGGUGAGACAGAAGAAUCAGAAGGAGCCUCUAAAUUUCCACAUUAGUGACGAAAUAUGGCCCACAAAGAGAAGAGAGAGAGCCUAUUAAGAGCAUUAAGUUCAUUGUUUCUCAUAGCCAACCCUACCACACCCCUACUGUCAUUCUUAGCUUUUCUUUAUUGAAAGCGAUUGAUCUUUGAAUCCUACGGAUAAAAACAAUUUGCACAAAUUAAUAACCAACAUUAUUAGACCAGAAAGAGGAUAAAAAGGCCAAAGAAAGCUAAGACUUUUGCUGCAUACAAGGUUUUUGGUCCAUUUUUCAGAGCUGAGAGAGAGAGAGAAGGCAUAAGCAAUGAAGUUCUUGUUCCAGUGUCCUUGUUGCUCAUGUUUCUGCUUCGUGAAGCCCAAGCAAGGAAAGCCAAAGGCCAAGGAAGCAAAGGUAGAAGAUUCCAAGGAAGGAAAAAAGGAAUGAGACGAUUGAUGCUGUUUGAAAAUGAUGGAACUGCUCUUUUACUUUGCUGCUGUAUGUAAUAUGUAAAAUUUUUUCUUUCUAGUUCAUCUGAAAUGUUUCCACCUUUUAAUUGCCAUGCAUGGAAAAUAAAAUUUCACAUUUUGUUUUGCCUCUAAUCUGGCAAAAUGUAUGCGAGUUUCUGCUUGAUCGCUUUGCAUAUCAGUUUGUCUCAUGACAGUAAUAGAAAAUGUGAAUCAACCCAUUCCCAUAAAAGGGAGUCUUUAUGGUUUGUAAGCAUUCUAAAGCAUUUGUUUUAGCAGUUCUAAGAGGUAUAAUUGAAAUUUGCCAAGAUAUUUUGAUAUUUUCCAAAAUUUCCCCACAAAUUUUCCUGAUUUGUUCAGCUACAACUCCAUGUUCUUCAAAUUGAUUUGAGGCCAUUUGAAAGGGAAGCUAUUCUUUCUAAAACAUUGUCUAAAUGAUUAUGGUAAAAGAUGUAUAGUGUGCUCUUUGGCUCCAUGAAUAUGCUUUAGAGCAAAUGAGAUUGGCUCAAUGUAUCCAUUGAUAAUUUGCUGCUGGUAAUUACUGAGAAGGCAGCUUGGCAGAGUUAUGGUAAUCAAUAAGAGGGUAACUAAUGACCCAUGGC
rnacentral:lncRNA from 1 species